UGGGGAAUCUUGCGCAAUGCGCGACAGCGUGACGCAGCAACACCGCGUGGGGGAAGACGGCCUUCGGGUUGUAAACCCCUUUCAGGAGGGACGAAGGCUCCGUGGUUAAUAGCCACGUGUGCUGACGGUACCUCCAGAAGAAGCUCCGGCUAACUACGUGCCAGCAGCCGCGGUAAUACGUAGGGAGCAAGCGUUGUCCGGAAUCAUUGGGCGUAAAGAGCGCGUAGGCGGCUCGGUAAGUCCGCUGUGAAAGUCAGGGGCUCAACCCUUGAAUGCCAGUGGAUACUGUCGGGCUAGAGUCCGGAAGAGGCGAGUGGAAUUCCUGGUGUAGCGGUGGAAUGCGCAGAUAUCAGGAGGAACACCUAUGGCGAAGGCAGCUCGCUGGGACGGUACUGACGCUGAGGCGCGAAAGCGUGGGGAGCGAACAGG
rnacentral:rRNA from 1 species